rnacentral:rRNA from 1 species
GGGUGAGUAACACGUGGGUAACCUGCCCAAGAGACUGGGAUAACACCUGGAAACAGAUGCUAAUACCGGAUAACAACACUAGACGCAUGUCUAGAGUUUGAAAGAUGGUUCUGCUAUCACUCUUGGAUGGACCUGCGGUGCAUUAGCUAGUUGGUAAGGUAACGGCUUACCAAGGCAAUGAUGCAUAGCCGAGUUGAGAGACUGAUCGGCCACAUUGGGACUGAGACACGGCCCAAACUCCUACGGGAGGCAGCAGUAGGGAAUCUUCCACAAUGGACGAAAGUCUGAUGGAGCAACGCCGCGUGAGUGAAGAAGGGUUUCGGCUCGUAAAGCUCUGUUGGUAGUGAAGAAAGAUAGAGGUAGUAACUGGCCUUUAUUUGACGGUAAUUACUUAGAAAGUCACGGCUAACUACGUGCCAGCAGCCGCGGUAAUACGUAGGUGGCAAGCGUUGUCCGGAUUUAUUGGGCGUAAAGCGAGUGCAGGCGGUUCAAUAAGUCUGAUGUGAAAGCCUUCGGCUCAACCGGAGAAUUGCAUCAGAAACUGUUGAACUUGAGUGCAGAAGAGGAGAGUGGAACUCCAUGUGUAGCGGUGGAAUGCGUAGAUAUAUGGAAGAACACCAGUGGCGAAGGCGGCUCUCUGGUCUGCAACUGACGCUGAGGCUCGAAAGCAUGGGUAGCGAACAGGAUUAGAUACCCUGGUAGUCCAUGCCGUAAACGAUG